CCUACGGGAGGCUGCAGUGGGGAAUAUUGGACAAUGGGCGAAAGCCUGAUCCAGCCAUGCCGCGUGUGUGAAGAAGGCCUUCGGGUUGUAAAGCACUUUCAGUGGGGAAGAAAGCCUUGGGGCUAAUACCCUCGAGGAAGGACAUCACCCACAGAAGAAGCACCGGCUAACUCCGUACCAGCAGCCGCGGUAAUACGGAGGGUGCGAGCGUUAAUCGGAAUUACUGGGCGUAAAGCGCGCGUAGGCGGUCUGAUAAGCCGGUUGUGAAAGCCCCGGGCUCAACCUGGGAACGGCAUCCGGAACUGUCAGGCUAGAGUGCAGGAGAGGAAGGUAGAAUUCCCGGUGUAGCGGUGAAAUGCGUAGAGAUCGGGAGGAAUACCAGUGGCGAAGGCGGCCUUCUGGACUGACACUGACGCUGAGGUGCGAAAGCGUGGGUAGCAAACAGGAUUAGAUACCCCGGUAGUC
rnacentral:rRNA from 1 species